rnacentral:lncRNA from 1 species
CGCAAACAGCAAAAGCGGCCGCUUUUCCAUCUGUUGGUUGAAUUCUGUAUGAUGCAUCUCAAUCAAACGAUCAGCAGGAGGUUGAUCGCUUGCCCUAAUGAGCCAACUAAAUGCAAGUGAAAAUAUUUAGGCCAGAACAAGGAGAACGAGAAAACUUGCAAGUGAACGUUCUGUCAUAUCAUCUCUGUUUUUUAAGUUCAUGCUUUAGCUAACGCGCCUGAGAAAGGGGCGGCAUUGAUGGAAAGACAAACCUUAUCCCACCACAGAAAAGAAAAAUUUAUAAAAAUCACGUUCCAACCCCAUAAAAAACCAGGAUGGCUUAUUGAGAUAUUGCUAUUAUGUGAAUGUAUUCCUUUAUGCCUUAUAAUUUGAUGCCUGAUGCCUCUUAGACAGAGUUGACAGAGUCGUCAUCACUCGCAUCAC